rnacentral:rRNA from 1 species
AUUGAACGCUGGCGGCAGGCUUAACACAUGCAAGUCGAGCGGCAGCACGGGGGUAACCCUGGUGGCGAGCGGCGAACGGGUGAGUAAUACAUCGGAACAUGCCCAGUCGUGGGGGAUAACACUUCGAAAGAAGUGCUAAUACCGCAUACGUCCUGAGGGAGAAAGCGGGGGAUCUUCGGACCUCGCGCGAUUGGAGUGGCCGAUGUCAGAUUAGCUAGUUGGUGGGGUAAAGGCCUACCAAGGCAACGAUCUGUAGCUGGUCUGAGAGGAUGAGCAGCCACACUGGGACUGAGACACGGCCCAGACUCCUACGGGAGGCAGCAGUGGGGAAUUUUGGACAAUGGGGGCAACCCUGAUCCAGCCAUUCCGCGUGAGUGAAGAAGGCCUUCGGGUUGUAAAGCUCUUUCGGCAGGAACGAAACGGCGAGCUCUAACAUAGCUUGCUAAUGACGGUACCUGAAGAAGAAGCACCGGCUAACUACGUGCCAGCCGCCGCAGUAAAAC